rnacentral:rRNA from 1 species
CCUACGGGGGGCAGCAGUGAGGAAUAUUGGUCAAUGGGCUUACGCCUGAACCAGCCAAGUCGCGUGAGGGACGACUGCCCUAUGGGUUGUAAACCUCUUUUGUCAGUGAGCAAUUGGCGCUACGUGUAGCGUUAUCGAGAGUACCUGAAGAAAAAGCAUCGGCUAACUCCGUGCCAGCAGCCGCGGUAAUACGGAGGAUGCGAGCGUUAUCCGGAUUUAUUUGGUUUAAAGGGUGCGUAGGCGGAAUGCCAAGUCAGCGGUAAAAUCGCGGGGCUCAACCUCUCUCCGCCGUUGAAACUGGCGUUGUUGAGUGGGCGAGAAGUAUGCGGAAUGCGUGGUGUAGCGGUAAAAUGCAUAGAUAUCACGCAGAACUCCGAUUGCGAAGGCAGCAUACCGGCGCCCAACUGACGCUGAAGCACGAAAGCGUGGGUAUCGAACAGGAUUAGAUACCCGUGUAGUU